rnacentral:rRNA from 1 species
ACGAGAAGACCCCAUGGAGCUUUAAACCUGACAGCACCCGCUCAUUCUAUACCCCAUUAUUUGCCCGACCCCUGUCUGCUCAGUUUUAGGUUGGGGUGACCACGGAGUAUAAAAUAACCUCCAUGAAGAAGGGGAUAUUUCCCUUAUUAGAGAACCACACUUCCAAGAACUAAUAAAUUAAUUUUCAAUGACCCGAUACCCGAUAAUCGAUCAACGAACCAAGUUACCCUGGGGAUAACAGCGCANUCCACCCUGAAAGCCCUUAUUAACAGGUGGGUUUACGACCUCGAUGUUGGAUCAGGGUAUCCCAGUGGUGCAGCAGCUACUGAGGGUUCGUUUGUUCAACGAU